GCCAUUUUAAAAGUAUGAAAAACUGUAGAAAUAGAAAUUGUCUAUCAUUUAUAUUGCCCAUAUGUGUACACUGAAUUCAGAUAUAAGUUCUUGGCUUUUGAAGUAAAAGGAAAUAUAUCAGCUACAUAGCAUUUAGUGGCUAGAGAGACCAUGGAAAUGCUUAUUUUGUUUCUUCCUGGAACCCAGCUCCAGUUGGUCUUUAUAUUACUGCAAUUCUUCCUUCUCUGAUUUGAAAAAGCACAGAAGCAUCAUUCAGAUGACAGAUGCCUGCAAUCAAAAAGAAAGGUCAAGAAGAUGCCAUGAUGUCCGCCCUGGCUGAGCUACAUAAGACAAUCUGAACAAUUGGGCUUUGAAGUUGGAGCUCAGCUUUCAGAUCCUAGGUCCCUUGGACAGCAUGACCGGGUCUCUGAGCUGGACUGGAGGCUCUUCUAGGCUCUGACAGAACCAUUCCUAGGAUCCUGCCCAAAUCUUGAUGUGCCAAGCUGACGCGGCUCUGCAAGUAUUCCCUGUCCACAUCAGAUUUGGAGAAGUCCUAGUGGCUCAAGAAAUAAAAGAACCCACUUGCAGUGCACCAGACACCAGAGAAGUGG
rnacentral:lncRNA from 1 species